CACACACACACACACACACACACACACACACACACACACACACACACACACACACACACACACAUACACACCCCUUGUCAAUCAAAUUCAAACCAUUUUCAUAUUUUUCUUGAUACAUUUUGGGACCGAUAAUGUGCUGUGAUUUUUGUAGUUUCCCAGAUUAUCAAUCUCUUCAAUUUUGAUAAAUUUUUUUCUGUUAAUAUACAAUACAGAUAUUUUGUCAUUUUGAGAACGCAAAUAUCUGCUGACCUUCUCCCCGAAGUCGAAGCAGGGCGAGGGGAAGGUCAUGUCCUGGCUGCUGAAGGACAGUCGACGGAGGUCUUGUGGAUGAGGGCGUCGCCUCAUUCCGGGGUCAGGAUCCUCCGCUUCUCCAUGUAGACGCACACGUUGGGGUAGGAGCCCAAAGGUCAACAGGCUGACCACCACAUCCAGACCGUUGUCUGCCCCCUCCGCGUUCAACACCCGGCUCAUCAGACCCUCUGAUAAACACACUCAUGGUUCUCAGGUUAGACACACGUCAUACGAUGACCGAUGACCAACAUUUCAGACCGACUCCAUCCGGAGGCCAAAUGUCGAUGAAAUGCAAGAAAAGCAACGGAGCUACGAUGUCUGGAUGCAGGGGUUUGACUCAGGGCAGAGCAAGCAGGGGCUGGGGGAAUAGGAAUCCAUUCAUGGGAGAAUCGGGACUCUUUGAUUAAGCGAUACUUGAUUGAGCAACGUUGUCAGGUUGACACAAAUCAGUACUUUCCUAUAGAGUGCGCUCUAUAGGAAGGUACUGAUUUGUGUCUGGUGUGCGUGACACACACGCACACCAGAAGAGAAGACUAGAAUAGAGUUGAUUUCUAAAAUUAAUGGUUUGGUCAUGUGCUGUUUAAUUCAAACCACAUCGUAUAACAUUUAUAGCGCCUAGAAGGGCUGCAAUAGUAACUAGGGCCCCAUCCUAUUAUUCCCCCUAGCCCUAGAUUUGAGCCCUAGCCCUAGAAGUUGUGCGUUCCCUCGGAGGGGUAGGGUGAUCCAAUACUUAGGGGCAAGAGAGAGGGCCUAUUUCCCCUUAAAGUCCCUUGGCAGCUCGCCAGCUCGGUACCUCACUUACAGCCAAGGGAGUAUCACGUAUGACCCAGGACACGUUGAGAACUCAGCAAGCGGCUAUUUUUCCAUGUUUCUCAAACAGUUAAACAUUAUGUUAAAUUAUUUAUCCGUAUACUGGAUUUAACUGUACGAUCUGAAUGUGUAGGUUGUCUUAUUUUCGACACAAGGCUGACAUUAUCAAACGUGAAUAAAAAUAGUAGUAGGCUCCUUCCUGUAGUGUAGACACGUCGGUGCUGCGCGUGACGUAGGGGAGCACGUUCACUACGCUAAUCUGCAUAAUAUUAAUUAUAGUGGUGUCACAUUUCAUAGGGAACGAUCUUCACUAUCACUUCACUCUUUAUUGUGGAGGGAAGUGUUCUCGUUAAGGGGAGAGGAAUGGGACAGGGCCUAGUACUCAUCUAACGAAGCAAGGAUCAACAAUAUAAAGUCACUAGUUAAAAUAGUAACAGGUAACUGUUGGAAAAGAGACGAGUAACUUCAAUACAAGCACUAGUAACUCAAAUGAGUUUGGCUUCUGGACGCAGUGUUCAAACAUAGAUACAGAAUAGAUGGGAAUGAGCGCUGGUGGUGGGGACCAUGACACCCACUUGAAGAGGCCUCCCAUGAUCAUCAUCCCCUCCCCCCUCCCCCUCUUCCUCCUCCCCCACCACCUCCACCGCCUCCUCCUCCUUCUUCACCUCCUUGUCCCCCUCCUCCUCUUCCCCUCCCCCUCCUCUAUGAUAUGUAAACGAGCGGUUAUGGUGGGAGCAGGACGCUCCCUUGAAGAUGCCUCCCAUGACCAUCAUCUCGCCCAGGCGGGGCUCCACGGUGGGCCACGGGGCGUCCCAGAGAGGGCAGCUCGUCGUUGCUGUCCACAGCGUCCACUUCUGGUGGACCAACCCCAAGGAAACAUCAACAAUCCCCACAGAGUGGAUGACGUACACCGCGUCGUUGAGGGUGAUGCUGGUCUAUGCGAUGUUGGUGGACAGGACGACCUGCAGGAGGCAGGGAACAACAACAGGAGAUGGACCGGCAAGGGUGGAUUCCAGGCAGCUGGGCAGGCAGAGGAGCACACGGGGUGGAUGGCAGGCAGCUACGGGGUUGGUGAUCCUGGGCCGAGGACAACGCGGAGAGUUAAAGGUCCCAUGACAUGCCACCAGGUGUGGUGUGAUUAGCCGUUACAAGCCGUUUUGGAAAUCGGCCCCUUAUGACAUCACAGGUGGGCGUGUCCACCUAGAUGUGUGCUGGAUAGAUCAGUCUACCAGCCUACCCAGUGGACUGUAGCAAACGUUGCUCAUCUCUCCGUCACACAUCUAGGUGGACACGCCCACCUGUGAUGUCGGAAAAUUGUUUCUUUGUGUUCUGUUGGGAACAACAAGUCAACAUUCUUCCCUUUAGUUAAAGUCUCUAGUCACCCCUUCAUCAGUGUGUGGAGAGGUUAUUUCCACACACACAACAGUGGAGUCUGAACACAUACGCAUAUACUAAAACAAAAUUCAAGUUAUGCAAGGGCGCACCAUCAGUGAGGAUUGAUUCAACACCAGUAAGACACCAGUGAGACACCAGGGGGACACCAGUGAGACACCAGUAAGACACCAGUGGGACACCAUGCAGUGAGACACCAGGGGAACACCAGUGAGACACCAGUGGGACACCAGUAAGACACCAGUGAGACCCCAGUGAGACACCAGUGGGACACCAGUGAGACGUUCUGCCAUUCUUCCAGAACAAACAAAGGACUGAGGCCUCCUCAGUGCUGCCCCUGCUGGCCGGACCUCCACACUGCAGUCAUGUCCAGUAGAUAGACGAUAGCCCAGAGCAGCGGGCCGCGCCCUCAUUCUCACCGCUCCCCUGAUCCUCACCCCCUGAGAGGGUCCUAAACGCUGGGCCUUCUCUUUAGUCCUGGGGGGCUCUCCCUCACAGCAGAGGGUCCUAAACGCUGGGCCUUCUCUUUAGUCCUGGGGGGCUCUCCCUC